rnacentral:lncRNA from 12 species
UCACCCAGACUUUUAAUUAUUGCUCUGUUCUCUCAAGGCUUUUCUCAAAGAUUUCUACAAUCUCCAGGGCUCAAAUGGAAUGAUGCCCCGGUGAAUGAACAUCAGGUGGUCCACAGGAUGAUAAAGCCCAAGGGAAAGAAGCCAGAAGUAUGACCAGAUAGUCCUAGUGGUUGUAAAGAGAAGAAGACGUGAAAAGGAGAAAUGAGAAGAAAACUAGUGAAUAGAGCCAGAUGAGUGAUUCUUUUUUUAAAAUUUUUUAAAUUUAAAUUCAAUUUGCCGACAUAUCAUAUAUCACCCAGUGCAGAUGAAUGAUUCUUGUAUUU